UUAAAAUCUCAAAUUUAUAUUUUUAAAAAUUUUAAAUUUAAAAGUUUAAACUUUAAAUUUAAGAUGAAAUUUAUUAUUAAUAAAUUUAUAAUUUUUAAAAAAUUCUACUUAUACUUAAAUUUAAUAAAAAUAAUUUAUUAUAAUAUUUAAAUAUAAUUUACUACAAAAUUUAUUAUAAUAUUUAAAUAUAAAUAAAACGUAUUAAUAUAGUACAAUUAAUAAUUUUAUAAUAAAAAUAAUGUAUUAUAAUAUAUAACAUAUUAUAUUUAUAUAAUUUAGUUUUAAUUCAAUUUAUAAUUUUAAUUAAAUUUAAAAUUAAGCAUUGGAAUGACACUAUUCCACCAAAAUGGUGGAGUAGUAAAUCCCAAGCUAUUCCGGAAUAACUGGGAAUAGUAAAAUUUGACCGGAAUAAAAUAUCUCGGCAAAAAAUCAUCUCAUUUGGCGGAAUAGCGGGGAUAAUUUCCGUUAUCCCCGUUUUAUCUCCCGAACCAAACGGGGCCUAAGGAUAUAUUUUUAGGACACUUUUAUAUUAGUGUCCCAUUUGCUAAAUAUUUUUUAAAAAAUAUAUUAAGGCCUAAAUAUAAAACCCAUCUAAUAAAAAACAAAAUGUUUCUCUAUUCAACCAACCUCAUCCAGCUCAUUCGGUGCGAUUACAAAUAGAAAAAAAAAAAAAAGGAAAAUUGAUCACUAUUUUUCUUUCUCCUCC
rnacentral:lncRNA from 1 species